rnacentral:rRNA from 1 species
GAUGAACGCUGGCGGCGUGCCUAAUACAUGCGAGUCGAGCGAACAGACGAGGAGCUUGCUCCUCUGACGUUAGCGGCGGACGGGUGAGUAACACGUGGAUAACCUACCUAUAAGACUGGGAUAACUUCGGGAAACCGGAGCUAAUACCGGAUAAUAUAUUGAACGGCAGGGUUAAUAAGUGAAGGAGGGUUUUGCUGUAACUAAUGAAUGGAUCCGCGCCGCAUUAGCUAGUUGGUAAGGUAACGGCUUACCAAGGCAACGAUGCGUAGCCGACCUGAGAGGGUGAUCGGCCACACUGGAACUGAGACACGGUCCAGACUCCUACGGGAGGCAGCAGUAGGGAAUCUUCCGCAAUGGGCGAAAGCUUGACGGAGCAACGCCGCGUGAGUGAUGAAGGUCUUCGGAUCGUAAAACUCUGUUAUUAGGGAAGAACAAAUGUGUAAGUAACUAUGCACGUCUUGACGGUACCUAAUCAGAAAGCCACGGCUAACUACGUG